UCUCUCUGCCCCACUAACGUGUUCAGCUCAAACCCUCUCACUCACACCAUCUUCAUUUCACGACCACGCCGCUGGAGAGCGCAGCCACGCGUGACGGUCAAAAAGACCCAAGUGGGAACUACUAGUCGGUGUUGUCGUCCGUUGGAGAGGAGCUCGAGUUAACGACUUUUAUUUCUUUCGUAUUAUAUUUCAUUCUCUCUAUUCCUCGUUCGUACCGUUUCUUCAGCAUGGUUUUAAAUUGCCUGUCAAGAGAUUUACGCUGCUUCCCGAGGCGGUUCAGAGCCGUUCGGUACGUCAAAAAGGUCGCCCUAGUCGACAUUGGAAGCAAAUAACACGGGAAUAACGUGGAUAAUAUUAACGGUCUGCUCCAGGCGACAUUAGAAGCCAAUAACACUGGAAAAACGUGGAUGAUAUUAACGGUCCGCUCCAGUCGACGUUAGAAGCCAUUAACACUGGAAUAACGUGGAUGAUAUUAACGAAGACAGUACAGUCAGUCUAUGACUAUUUCACCGAAGCUCGUACUGUACAGUGCAGUAAAGUGAUAUCCACUACCUUUAAAACAAAACCGGGACUGCAAAGUUGUAGCCGUGGCUGGCUGGGUCUACCACCACCACCACCACCACCACCAAACGGAAAUCCAGGUGGAAGACGAAGGAGGAGGAGAAGAAGGAAUGGAGGACUACUCGGAGAGAGGAGCAAAGGAGCCUUAAAGGGAGCGACGCUUGGCGAGCUAACCCUCUGUCUGCCUGGCCCGGGUGAAUGCAAGGGGGAUUUCUAUCAGACAGAAGAGAGAGAGAGAGAGAGAAGAGAGAGAGAGAGAGAGAGAGAGAGAGAGAGAGGAAAUCUGAGGCGUGCAGUGAGAGCUACUGGAUGCCUGGCCCCCCUCCUCACCGGGCUGAGCCGAGCAUCUCCUGCCGCAUAGCGCUGCGCUGAGCCCGGGCAACAACGCCAGGAUGACUGUGGUGGCCGGAGAUAACAUGGAUGAGACGUCCACCCUGCCGGGACACCUGCAGGACACCUACCCACCUGACCACAAUGACCACGAGUGCUGCGAGAGGGUUGUCAUUAAUAUCUCGGGUUUGCGCUUCGAGACCCAGUUAAAAACACUGAGCCAGUUCCCUGAGACGUUACUUGGUAACCCCAAAAAAAGAAUGCGUUACUUCGAUCCGCUUAGAAACGAGUAC
rnacentral:lncRNA from 1 species